rnacentral:rRNA from 1 species
CCUACGGGCGGCAGCAGUGGGGAAUAUUGGACAAUGGGGGCAACCCUGAUCCAGCCAUGCCGCGUGUGUGAAGAAGGCCCUCGGGUUGUAAAGCACUUUCAGUGAGGAAGAACGCCUGGUGGUUAAUACCCAUCAGGAAAGACAUCACUCACAGAAGAAGCACCGGCUAACUCCGUGCCAGCAGCCGCGGUAAUACGGAGGGUGCGAGCGUUAAUCGGAAUUACUGGGCGUAAAGCGCGCGUAGGUGGCUUGAUAAGCCGGUUGUGAAAGCCCCGGGCUCAACCUGGGAACGGCAUCCGGAACUGUCAAGCUAGAGUGCAGGAGAGGAAGGUGGAAUUCCCGGUGUAGCGGUGAAAUGCGUAGAGAUCGGGAGGAAUACCAGUGGCGAAGGCGGCCUUCUGGACUGACACUGACACUGAGGUGCGAAAGCGUGGGUAGCAAACAGGAUUAGAUACCCCUGUAGUC